rnacentral:rRNA from 1 species
CUCGUAGGCGGUUCGUCGCGUCCGGUGUGAAAGUCCAUCGCUUAACGGUGGAUCCGCGCCGGGUACGGGCGGGCUUGAGUGCGGUAGGGGAGACUGGAAUUCCCGGUGUAACGGUGGAACGUGUAGAUAUCGGGAAGAACACCAAUGGCGAAGGCAGGUCUCUGGGCCGUUACUGACGCUGAGGAGCGAAAGCGUGGGGAGCGAACA